UACGGGGGGGGCAAGCGUUGUUCGGAAUUACUGGGCGUAAAGGGCUCGUAGGCGGCCAACUAAGUCAGACGUGAAAUCCCUCGGCUUAACCGGGGAACUGCAUCUGAUACUGGAUGGCUUGAGUUCGGGAGAGGGAUGCGGAAUUCCAGGUGUAGCGGUGGAAUGCGUAGAGAUCGGGAAGAACAUCAGUGGCGAAGGCGGUCUGCUGGGCCGUUGCUGACGCUGAGGCGCGACAGCGUGGGGAGCAAACAGG
rnacentral:rRNA from 1 species